GACGAACCUUGCUAACGUUAUUCGGAAUUACUGGGCUUAAAGGGUGCGUAGGCGGUGCGGAAAGUUGGGUGUGAAAUCCCUCGGCUCAACCGAGGAAUUGCGCCCAAAACUGCCGCACUAGAGGAAGACAGAGGUACGCGGAACUUAGGGUGGAGCGGUGAAAUGCGUUGAUAUCCUAAGGAACACCGGUGGCGAAAGCGGCGUACUGGGUCUUAUCUGACGCUGAGGCACGAAAGCUAGGGGAGCGAACGGG
rnacentral:rRNA from 2 species